GUUAGUUACAGCAGAUAAUUAAGAAGGCAAAUAGUAUGUUGGCGUAAAAACAGAAAAUGCUGGAAACCCUCAGCAGCUCAGACAGUGCCUGUGGAAAGAGAAAUAGAGUGAAUGUCAAAGUUCCUGCUGGCCUUUGUUGGAAGAGGAUUUGAGUACAAGAGUUGGGAUAUCUUACUCUAUUCAUAUCGUGUCUUGGUGAGAUGACAUCUGGAAUACCGUGUACCCAAGGAAGACUAUAUUUGAUGCGAUGAAGAUUUGCCAUAUUGAUUCCUUUGAUGAUGCUGCUGGCCUGCUGAGCGUUUCCAGUAUUCUCUGGUUUUGUUAUCAUGCUCUUCCUUGUGGAAGCUCUCAGUGUGCACAACUACUGCAUUUACAAUACAAAGGAGUGAAAGAAUCCUUCUUCAUCACAUUGGGCUAUGUGGACAGAGAACAGUAAACUUUGUUCUGGAGACACAAGAGUCUGCAGAUGCUGGAAUCUGGAGCAACACACAAUCUGUCAGAGGAACUCAGCGAGUCGAGCAGCAUCUGUGGGGGAAAGGAACUGUCGACGUUUCAGGUGGAAACCUUCAUCAGAACUCUAUACUGGCUACUGGAAUAUAUUAGGGUCACCACAUAAUUCUUCACUCUUUGCCAAACUGACUGAAGUUGCACGUUUACACUUGUCAGCUCUGGCUCAUUCGGUUGAACACUUGCCUCUGAGCCAGAAGCUUGUGCAUUCAAAUCUCACAUAAACAUAUGGUCUACGCUAGCACUUCAGUGUAGUGCUGAGGGCGUGCGGCAUUGUUGGAAGUGCUGCCAUUCCUAUGAGAUAUUUAACUGAGGCUCCAUCAUUACUGUCUGAAGAGUAUAAAAAGCCACUGUCUGAUUAUUUCAAACAAGGGCAGGAGAGUUUCCUUUAGCAUCAUGUCCAUUAUUUAAUUCCUCAAUCAACUUCACUAAAACAAAUUGCUUGGUCACUGUCAAGUUGCUAUUUGUGAGACCACGCUAUGCACAAUUUAGGUGUUGUACAUUUUUACACUUUAGAUGCACUUCAUUAGCUUCAAAGUGCAUGAGGUGAAGCUGUGAAGGGGGGGCUACGAAAAUGCAAAUUUUUCUUUUUUCUGAUGAAAUAUUGUCAUUUUAUUUAAUGUCAACAAAAGAGCUGGUCAUUGACUUCAGGAAAGGGGGCGGUGUACAUGCAUCUGUCUACGUCAACGGUGCUGAGGUCGAGGGGGUUGAGAGCUUCAAGUUCCUGGGAGUGAGCAUCACCAAUCGCCUGUCCUGGUCAAAUCAUGUAGAUGCCAUGGCCAAGAAAGCUCACCAGUGCCUCUACUUCCUUAGGAGGCUAAAGAAAUUUGGUAUGUCCCCUUUGACUCUCACCAACUUUUAUCAAUGCACCAUAGAAAGCAUCCUAUCUGGAUGUAUCACAGCUUGGUACGGCAACUGCUCUGUCCAGGACUACAAGAAGCUGCAGGGAGUUGUGGACACAGCCCAGUGCGUCACGGAAACCAGCCUCCCCUCCUUGGACUUUGUCUUUACCUCUUGCUGCCUUGGUGAAGCAGCCAACAUAAUCAAAGACCCCACCCACCUGGGUCAUUCUCUCUUCUCUCCUCUUCCAUCAGGUAGAAGAUACAGGAGCCUGAGGGCAUGUACCACCAGACUUAAGGACAGCUUCUAUCCCACUGUGAUAAGACUAUUGAAUGGUUCCCUUAUACAAUGAGAUGGACUCUGACCUCACGAUCUACCUUGUGUGAGCUUGCACCUUAUUGCACUGCACUUUCUCUGUAGCUGUGACACUUUACUCUGUACUGUUAUUGUUUUUACCUGCACUACGUCAAUGCACUCUGUACUAACUCAAUGUAACUGCACUGUGUAAUGAAUUGAC